rnacentral:rRNA from 1 species
CGGCUAACUCCGUGCCAGCAGCCGCGGUAAUACGGAGGGUGCGAGCGUUAAUCGGAAUUACUGGGCGUAAAGGGCACGCAGGCGGUUAAUUAAGUUGGAUGUGAAAUCCCCGGGCUUAACCUGGGAAUGGCAUUCAAGACUGGUUAGCUAGAGUCUUGUAAAGGGGGGUAGAAUUCCAUGUGUAGCGGUGAAAUGCGUAGAGAUAUGGAGGAAUACCGGUGGCGAAGGCGGCCCCCUGGACAAAGACUGACGCUCAUGUGCGAAAGCGUGGGGAGCAAACAGGAUUAGAUACCCUGGUAGUCCACGCUGUAAACGAUGUCGAUUUGGAGGUUGUGGUCAUGAACUGUGGCCUCCGGAGCUAACGCGUUAAAUCGACCGCCUGGGGAGUACGGCCGCAAGGCUAAAACUCAAAUGAAUUGACGGGGGCCCGCACAAGCGGUGGAGCAUGUGGUUUAAUUCGAUGCAACGCGAAAAACCUUACCUACUCUUGACAUCCAGCGAAUCCUUUAGAGAUAGAGGAGUGCCUUCGGGAGCGCUGAGACAGGUGCUGCAUGGCUGUCGUCAGCUCGUGUUGUGAAAUGUUGGGUUAAGUCCCGCAACGAGCGCAACCCUUAUCCUUUGUUGCCAGCG